rnacentral:rRNA from 1 species
CGUAGUAAGCUCUUGAAACUGGGAGACUUGAGUGCAGGAGAGGAGAGUGGAAUUCCUAGUGUAGCGGUGAAAUGCGUAGAUAUUAGGAGGAACACCAGUUGCGAAGGCGGCUCUCUGGACUGUAACUUACGCUGAGGCACGAAAGCGUGGGGAGCAAACAGGAUUAGAUACCCUGGUAGUCCACGCUGUAAACGAUGAGUACUAGGUGUCGGGGGUUACCCCC